AGCAGCCGCGGUAAUUCCAGCUCCAAUAGCGUAUAUUAAAGUUGUUGCAGUUAAAAAGCUCGUAGUUGAAUUUCGGGAUCAGUACGUCGGUCGUGCCUUGGUACGUACUGGCGUCGCUGAUUUCUCCCUUCUGACGAACCGUGAUGCCAUUAAUUUGGUGUUGCGGGGAAUCAGGACUGUUACUUUGAAAAAAUUAGAGUGUUUAAAGCGGGCACGCGCUUGAAUACAUUAGCAUGGAAUAACGAAAUAGGACGUUCGAUCUUAUUUUGUUGGUUUCUAGGAUUGACGUAAUGAUUAAUAGGGAUAGUUGGGGGCAUUAGUAUUCAAUUGUCAGAGGUGAAAUUCUUGGAUUUAUUGAAGACUAACUACUGCGAAAGCAUUUGCCAAGGAUGUUUUCAUUAAUCAAGAACGAAAGUUAGGGGAUCGAAGACGAUCAGAUACCGUCGUAGUCUUAACCAUAAACUAUGCCGACUAGGGAUCGGAUGAUGUUAAUUUUAUAAUGAACUCAUUCGGCGCCUUA
rnacentral:rRNA from 1 species